UAGAAGGUGAUGGAUCACAGAAGCUGCGGAUUUUUCUCUUCUCUAACAGUGACUUGGAUGAUGCUCAAGCUGGUCUUGAGAAUGUUGAAGGAGAUUCAGAGAUGCAGUAUGUUGUUGCUGUGCGGAUUUUUCUCUUCUCUACCAGUGACUUGGAUGAUGCUCAAGCUGGUCUUGAGAAUGUUGAAGGAGAUUCAGAGAUGCAGUAUGUUGUUGCUGUCAAUGGCAUGGACUUCGGGUCUAGAAGAAACUCAAUUGCUCUGGCGAGUGCUUCAGGAAAUAAUCUGGAUGAGUUUCUUCACUUAACAAUUGCUCGUGAGAAUAGUCGAGUUGCUGCUGUUGCUUCUUGUUCACUGGGUGGUGUGCCUCUAGCUGGUCAAUCUGCUCAUGUGAUGGCGUCAAGUUCAUUGCAUGCCUUUGACUCCAACCAACAAGGGUACCAUGGUCAAACUAUUCAUCAUGGCGGUGCUGAAUGGAGACCUUUACCCACUAGCAUGCCUGUUGACAACUUCCAAAAUUUAGAUGCCAAAAGCCCUGUUUUCCCCCAGUACGACCAUGAUUCUCAUCCACCCAACUCCAUGCCUGUUGACAACCUCCAAAAUUUAGAUGCCAAAAGCCCUGUUUUCCCCCAGUACGACCAUGAUUCUCAUCCACCCAGCUCCUCACAACUCACAGAUAACUUUGUUGUUAGUACAAGCCGUGG
rnacentral:lncRNA from 1 species